GAGAGAGAGAGAGACAGCCACCGAGUCUAUAAGUGGAGUUAGCUGUUCAGCACACAAGCAACCCUCAGCACUGCAGAACGAACAGCACCUAUAUUCCAUUCAAUCCUCAAAUUUUCAUUAGAGGGGAUAUUUAUUUGGCAAGAGAAUCCAUUUGUGGGUCAGCCCUGGAGAUGGAAGCAGCCUUUCUGCUGAGAGUUGGAUCCCAUCGUCAGGAAUGAGACUCGGACCACAUGGUACAAAGAGACCGAACCCUGUAAAGUGAAUUGAGCACAUUAUGAACGGAAAGCGUUGGGAAGCCGAGGGAUUUUAAUCUGCUGUGAUAAAACAUGAGAGAACCACGGAUAUAAUCGGGGUUGAGCUGAAUUAAUCAAGAAGACUGGCUUUCGUUGUAUCAAACUGCUGGAAUGUGUCCAAAGGAAUGAACGGGGACGAGUGCUGACAGCACAAGGGGCGAGACAUUUCCAUGGUGUGCCGUCGUAUAAUUAAGGCAUCACAUCGCAUUUUC